rnacentral:rRNA from 1 species
GUAACGGCUCACCAAGGCGACGAUGCGUAGCCGACCUGAGAGGUGAUCGGCCACACUGGGACUGAGACACGGCCCAGAUUCCUACGGGAGGCAGCAGUAGGGAAUCUUCCGCAAUGGACGAAAGUCUGACGGAGCAACGCCGCGUGAGUGAUGAAGGUUUUCGGAUCGUAAAGCUCUGUUGUUAGGGAAGAACAAGUGCCGUUCAAAUAGGGCGGCACCUUGACGGUACCUAACCAGAAAGCCACGGCUAACUACGUGCCAGCAGCCGCGGUAAUACGUAGGUGGCAAGCGUUGUCCGGAAUUAUUGGGCGUAAAGGGCUCGCAGGCGGUUUCUUAAGUCUGAUGUGAAAGCCCCCGGCUCAACCGGGGAGGGUCAUUGGAAACUGGGGAACUUGAGUGCAGAAGAGGAGAGUGGAAUUCCACGUGUAGCGGUGAAAUGCGUAGAGAUGUGGAGGAACACCAGUGGCGAAGGCGACUCUCUGGUCUGUAACUGACGCUGAGGAGCGAAAGCGUGGGGAGCGAACAGGAUUAGAUACCCUGGUAGUCCACGCCGUAAACGAUGAGUGCUAAGUGUUAGGGGGUUUCCGCCCCUUAGUGCUGCAGCUAACGCAUUAAGCACUCCGCCUGGGGAGUACGGUCGCAAGACUGAAACUCAAAGGAAUUGACGGGGGCCCGCACAAGCGGUGGAGCAUGUGGUUUAAUUCGAAGCAACGCGAAGAACCUUACCAGGUCUUGACAUCCUCUGACAAUCCUAGAGAUAGGACGUCCCCUUCGGGGGCAGAGUGACAGGUGGUGCAUGGUUGUCGUCAGCUCGUGUCGUGAGAUGUUGGGUUAAGUCCCGCAACGAGCGCAACCCUUGAUCUUAGUUGCCAGCAUUCAGUUGGGCACUCUAAGGUGACUGCCGGUGACAAACCGGAGGAAGGUGGGGAUGACGUCAAAUCAUCAUGCCCCUUAUGACCUGGGCUACACACGUGCUACAAUGGACAGAACAAAGGGCAGCGAAACCGCGAGGUUAAGCCAAUCCCACAAAUCUGUUCUCAGUUCGGAUCGCAGUCUGCAACUCGACUGCGUGAAGCUGGAAUCGCUAGUAAUCGCGGAUCAGCAUGCCGCGGUGAAUACGUUCCCGGGCCUUGUACACACCGCCCGUCACACCACGAGAGUUUGUAACACCCGAAGUCGGUGAGGUAACCUUUAUGGAGCCAGCCGCCGAAGGUGA